rnacentral:tRNA from 1 species
GCCGCCAUAGCUCAGUCGGUUAGAGCGUGGGUCUAAUAAGCCCAAGGUCGCAGGUUCGAUCCCUGCUGGCGGCA